ensembl:lncRNA
CGGUGGUGGUGGAUGGAGCGCAGCGGCGAUUUUGGGAGAUCUGAAGUUCAAGUUGACGGCGUUGACUCGCAGAAACGUGUCCCCCACCCCACCCCAGCCCCUGACCCGGUCCCUGCGGGCAGCUAACCAAGGGUGCAGCUCUGGUUCCCCUGAGGGGGUGCGGAAACUGGGCUCCGUUCGGUGGUUCCGGAGGCCAGGCGAGGGCAGGGUCGACGUGAAAGGCCAAGACCCGGCCCCACUGUCGGAUCUGUGACUUGUCUGGACAGAGCGGUGGGAGCAAGGCCUGGAGAACCGAGGGAUGUUUUGCUGGAAAGCCGCCCCUCUCCGCCCCUCACAUCCUAGGAUGGACCAGGAGACCACUCCCAGGCUGUGGUCCUCCUCAGGGCCAGGCCCCUUCCCAGUUUUAUUUCCUGCUGACAACCAGCAUCAGCACCCCCAGACCUAAAAGGCCCCCAGGUAGCAUGGCCUCUGGGAGGACAGAGUUGCCCUUCUCCCCAAGCGGCCCUUCAGCCUCCCCUGCCUGUCCCUGCGGCUCAGCCCAGGGCCAGAGCGGGAGAGGAGCGCCAGCGGCCACAGCCACCCGCCCAUCACCAUCAGCUUCAGCCAGCAGAGCCCUGCGCGCUGCUGGGGGAUCCUCUGGGGGUGUCGCCCCCCUGGCAACCAAACCUUUUCACCACUGGGU